ACGAGCGCAACCCUUGUCCUUAGUUACCAGCCACGUUAUGGUGGGCACUCUAAGGAGACUGCCGGUGACAAACCGGAGGAAGGUGGGGAUGACGUCAAGUCAUCAUGGCCCUUACGGCCAGGGCUACACACGUGCUACAAUGGUCGGUACAAAGGGUUGCCAAGCCGCGAGGUGGAGCUAAUCCCAUAAAACCGAUCGUAGUCCGGAUCGCAGUCUGCAACUCGACUGCGUGAAGUCGGAAUCGCUAGUAAUCGUGAAUCAGAACGUCACGGUGAAUACGUUCCCGGGCCUUGUACACACCGCCCGUCAACGACCAUGGGAGUAGGUUGCUGCCAGAAGUAGCUGGUCUAACCUUUCGGAACAAGGUU
rnacentral:rRNA from 1 species